GUGAGUAACCUGCCCUUGACUCUGGGAUAAGCCUGGGAAACUGGGUCUAAUACCGGAUACGACCAUCUGGCGCAUGUCAUGGUGGUGGAAAGCUUUUGUGGUUUUGGAUGGACUCGCGGCCUAUCAGCUUGUUGGUGGGGUAAUGGCCUACCAAGGCGACGACGGGUAGCCGGCCUGAGAGGGUGACCGGCCACACUGGGACUGAGACACGGCCCAGACUCCUACGGGAGGCAGCAGUGGGGAAUAUUGCACAAUGGGCGAAAGCCUGAUGCAGCGACGCCGCGUGAGGGAUGACGGCCUUCGGGUUGUAAACCUCUUUCAGUAGGGAAGAAGCGAAAGUGACGGUACCUGCAGAAGAAGCGCCGGCUAACUACGUGCCAGCAGCCGCGGUAAUACGUAGGGCGCAAGCGUUAUCCGGAAUUAUUGGGCGUAAAGAGCUCGUAGGCGGUUUGUCGCGUCUGCUGUGAAAGACCGGGGCUCAACUCCGGUUCUGCAGUGGGUACGGGCAGACUAGAGUGCAGUAGGGGAGACUGGAAUUCCUGGUGUAGCGGUGAAAUGCGCAGAUAUCAGGAGGAACACCGAUGGCGAAGGCAGGUCUCUGGGCUGUAACUGACGCUGAGGAGCGAAAGCAUGGGGAGCGAACAGGAUUAGAUACCCUGGUAGUCCAUGCCGUAAACGUUGGGCACUAGGUGUGGGGGACAUUCCACGUUUUCCGCGCCGUAGCUAACGCAUUAAGUGCCCCGCCUGGGGAGUACGGCCGCAAGGCUAAAACUCAAAGGAAUUGACGGGGGCCCGCACAAGCGGCGGAGCAUGCGGAUUAAUUCGAUGCAACGCGAAGAACCUUACCAAGGCUUGACAUGAACCGGAAAGACCUGGAAACAGGUGCCCCGCUUGCGGUCGGUUUACAGGUGGUGCAUGGUUGUCGUCAGCUCGUGUCGUGAGAUGUUGGGUUAAGUCCCGCAACGAGCGCAACCCUCGUUCUAUGUUGCCAGCGCGUGAUGGCGGGGACUCAUAGGAGACUGCCGGGGUCAACUCGGAGGAAGGUGGGGACGACGUCAAAUCAUCAUGCCCCUUAUGUCUUGGGCUUCACGCAUGCUACAAUGGCCGGUACAAAGGGUUGCGAUACUGUGAGGUGGAGCUAAUCCCAAAAAGCCGGUCUCAGUUCGGAUUGGGGUCUGCAACUCGACCCCAUGAAGUCGGAGUCGCUAGUAAUCGCAGAUCAGCAACGCUGCGGUGAAUACGUUCCCGGGCCUUGUACACACCGCCCGUCAAGUCACGAAAGUUGGUAACACCCGAAGCCGG
rnacentral:rRNA from 1 species